GUUGAACGCUGGCGGCAGGCUUAACACAUGCAAGUCGAGCGAGCGGCGGACGGGUGAGUAAUGUAUGGGUAUCUGCCCGCUAGAGGGGGAUAACUACUGGGAACGGUGGCUAAUAACGCAUAACAUCGGAUGUGCCCAGAUGGGAUUAGCUUGUAGGUUGGGUAACGGCUCACCUAGGCGACGGUCCCUAGCUGGUCUGAGAGGAUGACCAGCCCACCUCAGACGGAGAGACGGCCCGGACUCAUACGUAAGGCAGCAGUGGGGAAUAUAGCGCAAUGAGGGCAACCCUGACGCAGCCAUGCCGCGUGAAUGAAGAAGGCCUGCGGGUUGUAAAGUUCUUUCGGUAGCGAGGCGUUAGCUACAGAAGAAGCACCGGCUAACUCCGUGCCAGCAGCCGCGGUAAUAC
rnacentral:rRNA from 1 species